AAUAGAUACCCCGGUAGUCCAUGCCGUAAAACGUUGGGCACUAGGUGUGGGGCUCAUUCCACGAGUUCCGUGCCGCAGCAAACGCAUUAAGUGCCCCGCCUGGGGAGUACGGCCGCAAGGCUAAAACUCAAAGGAAUUGACGGGGGCCCGCACAAGCGGCGGAGCAUGCGGAUUAAUUCGAUGCAACGCGAAGAACCUUACCAAGGCUUGACAUGCACGGGAAGCCACCAGAGAUGGUGGUCUCUUUGGACACUCGUGCACAGGUGGUGCAUGGUUGUCGUCAGCUCGUGUCGUGAGAUGUUGGGUUAAGUCCCGCAACGAGCGCAACCCUCGUCCCAUGUUGCCAGCGGGUUAUGCCGGGGACUCAUGGGAGACUGCCGGGGUCAACGUCGGAGGAAGGUGGGGAUGACGUCAAAUCAUCAUGCCCCGUUAUGUCUUGGGCUUCACGCAUGCUACAAUGGCCGGUACAAAGGGCUGCGAUGCCGUAAGUGAGCGAAUCCCAAAAGCCGGUCUCAGUUCGGAUUGGGGU
rnacentral:rRNA from 1 species